rnacentral:piRNA from 1 species
CAAAUAAAAAUCAUUGAACCCUG